rnacentral:rRNA from 1 species
AGAGUUUGAUCCUGGCUUAGGAUGAACGCUAGCGGCAGGCCUAAUACAUGCAGGUCGAACGGGAUCCGGCCUUUCGGGGCCGGUGAGAGUGGCGCACGGGUGCGUAACGCGUAUGCAACCCACCCCCUGCAGGGGCAUAGCCGGUGGAAACGCCGGGCAAUUUCCCAUGCGUCCCGGAGAGGGCAUCCUUUCCGGGUGAAAGCCUACGGGCGGCGGGGGACGGGCAUGCGUGCCAUUAGCUGGUCGGCGGGGCGACGGCCCACCGAGGCUACGAUGGCUAGGGGAUCUGAGAGGACGGUCCCCCACACUGGUACUGAGACACGGACCAGACUCCUGCGGGAGGCAGCAGUAAGGGAUAUUGGGCAAUGGUCGGAAGACUGACCCAGCCAUGCCGCGUGAAGGGAAUGGGGCCCUACGGGUCGUGAACCUCUUUUGCCGGGGGACAAUCCGCCGCACGUGAUGCGGCGCUGCGGGUACCCGGCGAAUAAGCAUCGGCUAACUCCGUGCCAGCAGCGGC